GGGCCGGUGGCGUAAUGUUUAACGCAUCCGACUUUAGAUCAGAAGAUUGUAGGUUUGACUCUUGUCUGGCUCA
rnacentral:tRNA from 1 species